UCUCUCAAAUUUCUCUCAAACUUCACUACCUUUAAGUGUUUAUUUGAUAUAUUUGUACUUAUUAUUUGAUAUAUGUAUAUUUAUUGUUAAGUUGUAUAUCUUAAUAAUAAAUACAAAUAUAUCAAAUAAACACAAAACUAAGUCUUAUUUGAUAUAUUUCUACUUAUUAUUAAGUUGUAUGGCCUAAUUUUGAUUAUAUUUUCAAAUAUCUUUUAGUUUCAUAAACUUUGUAAAUUUUCCAAAAAAAUAUGCGCUACGAUAGGCUGUUGUUACCAUUACAUUAUGACAGUUACAGGCAUGUUUC
rnacentral:lncRNA from 1 species